AGAUUGAACGCUGGCGGCAGGCCUAACACAUGCAGGUCGAGCGGCAGCACGGGUACUUGUACCUGGUGGCGAGCGGCGGACGGGUGAGUAAUGCCUAGGAAUCUGCCUGGUAGUGGGGGAUAACGCUCGGAAACGGACGCUAAUACCGCAUACGUCCUACGGGAGAAAGCGAGGGGACCUUCGGGCCUUGCGCUAUCAGAUGAGCCUAGGUCGAUUAGCUAGUGUGAGUAUGGCUCACAGCGACAUCCGUAACUGGUCUGAGUAGGAUGAUCGAGUCACACUGGAACAGAGACGACGGUCCAAGACCUACCGUA
rnacentral:rRNA from 1 species